GUGCUUGCUUCAACAGAACAUAUACUAAAAUUGGAGCAAUACAGAGAAGAUUAGCAUGGCCCUUGCACAAGGAUGACAUGCAAAUUAGUGAAGCGGUCCAUAUUGUU
ensembl:snRNA U6 U6 spliceosomal RNA